AUUAACCGGUUAAAAUUGUGCGCCAAGAUAGAAAUAGAAAGGAGCGAUGAGGGCACGGAGAGUAACAGAGGAAGAGAGAGGUGAUGAAAUCAAAAAGCUUCAAAAAACGAUUUUGCAGACCCAAAACACCGUUUACCGCAAAACAAAACCCAAUUCUCUUCUAAAAACUGAAAUUAAAACCCGUAACUCCUCUGUCUUCUUAGAAAGAUUGCUACAUGGAGAAAGGAGAAAGAGAGAUCGACAAAAAAGAGAGACAGAGAAAUAGAGAGGCAGAGAUAGAGAGAAAGGCGCCGCCCAGAUCUCCUGCCAUCACUGUAAGGGCGCCUUCCAUUUUUCCUACUAUACAGAGAUGAGAAGGAGACAAACAUUGAGAGAACUACCACUGAACAGAAAGUAGAAAAGGUGAAGAGAGAAUCAAAAGCAUGUCCAACAAAGGAUGUAAUUUCACCAUGAUUGGUUGGAGAUUUGGAGUUGACGGAAUACCCCUUCACUUUCUUUAAAACAAUCUAUCACUAACACAGAUUUACACAGUUCUCUACCAGAUACAAUGGUUUGGUAUUUUGCAAGAAGAGAUACCGAAUCAUAUUGAGAGGUUUAGGUUAGCCUGAUUUUCCUUUUGUUUCUCUAUUUUUUUUGGGUUACGUUUUUCUCAUUUGAUGUCUUUGGGUUUGAAUUAGUUUUUUCCCUGCACAAUAUAGUCAGAAUUGUUUUUGAAGUAUUUGGUUUCAAUUAAAUUUUUUUUCUUCAGUAAAUUGACCUGUAAAAGUAUUGUCUGUCUUAUUUUUCUUAAAGUCUGGAACUUCACUUUUUAAUUCCUUUGUACCUUUUCCUUUGUCUUGGUAUUUUAAAAGUUUAUAUGUUUUCAUUAUAGAUAAAAGUCUAUGUUACAAAAAAUAUAUAACGAAAGCAGUUGAUGAAGAAGAAAUUAGUAAGCAUGUAUUUAUAUAUUUUUUUUGUGUCUUAGUAAAUAGGUAACAUUUGGUCAAUGGGAUUUGGAUCUGAAUUUAACUUGGUAGCUGUUCCUAAUUGGUAGACUCUCUUUUGAGUCCAGAUUGUUCGAUUAAAAUUCCCAAAGGACCAAAACAAAUUUUUGUUACUUGCCAAAACUUGCAAAUCAUCCAAUCCUAUUUCUUAAGAUAUGUGGAUUAGUUUUGCCAAUUGAAUAGUGGUUAAUAGUAUUACUAUUAUAUUUGUACUCCAAGUGAUUUUACUGACAAUGUAGUACCACCUUAGUACCAUAGGUUGCCUGUUCUCCAUAACGCAGGCCACUACCAUCUUAAUUAUUCUCUACAUCAUUUUGCAUAUGUGACCAAAUUUACUUCUACAUUUUUUGUGGAUGGAACGUGUAUAGGAACUCGGUUUGUAUUUUGUAGAACCUGUUUUACAUUGAUGUUUAUUAGGAUUUAUGUAUUUUCAAUAUCUUUUUUUUCUUUUUCUUUUUUUCACGUGUUUUUGUGGUAGCACAGAAGCAGAUAAGAUCAUUGGUUGUUGUUCAAGAAGAGUUACUAAAUUAAAUUGAAAGGUCAGGAUAGCAUAAUUUUCCCUUUGUUGCUUUUAUUUUUAAAUGAAUGUCUUUCUCAUUUGUUAAUGCUUGAUAAUUAAAAAAAAAAAAAACCAGAAACAGCAUAUGCAGAUUUUCACAUAUGUACUUUGUAACCAAAAAAAAAACUAUUAAAAUUACUUUUGAUCCUUUACAAUGUUAUCAUAGAAAAAAGAAUAUAUAUAUAUAUAUAUAUAUAAUGCAAUAGUAGCAUGUCAAAGAUUAUAUAUAAUGCAAUGGUAGCAUGAGAAAGAAGGUGCAUGAUAACGUUUGAGAAGAGAACCAAAAGAAAAUGGCAUGGAAGACGAAAUAAUUUCCAAACUGUGUGUAUUAGAAAUGGUCCUACACUAGCUAGGAAAAACAGGAGAAUGGUCAUGGGAACAAUUGGAACCAUCUUCUACUAGAGUUUCAUUUAUACUUAUGUUUGAUUUAGUUGCUCUAAUGGCCUGUUUGGGAGUUUAAAAAUGGAGGGAGAGUAGAGUAAAGGGAGGGAGAGUAAUCCAAUUACCUUGUUUGGAAGUUUUUUUAAGGAAGGAGGGAGAGUGAUUUGGAGGGGUUUCAUCUACCUCCAACCCCUCAUUUUUAAUUCCUCCAAAUUGGAGAGAUUUAGAGGGAAAGUAGAGUAAAUAAAUUAUUGAUCAAACCAAUUUCCUAAUUUAACCUUUUUAAAUUAACAAAAUUUCAAACAGAUUAUUCAAAUAAUAUUUGUUUGUUUCCCAAGAAAAUACGAGAAAAAAAAUUUGAAUCUGACUAUUUACCUUUGUUACUGACUUUGCAAAUAAGGCAACCCAACAAGAAAAAUUCAAGCUCACGAUGAAAUACAAAUUCCAUUAGAAAUUGAAACCCUAACAACAAAAUCAAAACGAAAAAAACAAAACAAAAAUUAAAAAAAAAAAGGAAGCAAAACGAUUCGGAUUGAACCUGCAAAAAAUUCGAAGCAAAACCAAAACCCACAUCCAAUCUGAGAGAGAGAAUCGAAGUGAGAGAAAGAGAGGAUCGGAAUGAGAGAAAGAGAUAGAAUCCACCAUCGCCACAGCUCCAAACCACCAUGCCAUCGCCGCCGAUCUCCAAACCACCAUGCUGUCGCCGCCGAUCUUCAGUCCCUGCUGCCGAUUUUGAUAUCCAAUCGACGCCGAUCUGAGAGACCCACAACAAAAAUUCAAAGCAAACCAAAACCCACAUAUAAUCUGAGAGAGAGAAUCAGAGUGAGUGAAAGAGAAAGAAUCCACCAUCGCCGCUGCUCCAAACCACCACGCCAUCGCCGCAGCUUCAAACCACCACACCAUCUCUGUCGAUCUCCAAUCGCUGUGCUCUGACACGACGGUGGCUCGCUCCGACGGGUUCUCCUUGGGGUUCGCUGGGAAAACCUCUUUCUUCUUCCAUUUUUCUUUUUGGUUAAACGCUUGCUUCUUCAACCCAACACAGGUACAUACAAUAAAAAGAAAAUUUAAUUUAAUUUUUAUUAUUAUUAUUUUUUUUGAGGUAAUAAAAAUUAUUUUAUAAUAGUUAAUAGUAGUUUUAUAUAUAUAUAUAUAUAUAUUAUAUAUAUAUAUAUAUAUUUGAUGGAUAUUAGUGGUAUUUAAUGGAAUGAGAAUGUUGAUUAAAUAAUUAUUUAAUUUAAUAAAAUCAAUCUUAGACUAAAAUGUUGUUAGUCCAUUUUCAAAUAGGGGUAAAUUUGUCCAUUUAAAUUAUUUCCUCUCCUCUUCAUCCUAAUUUUUAAAACAUCCAAACAAUGGGAAGUGCUAAUUACUCCCUUCCCCCUUACUAAUUCUAAAAACAUCCAAACAAGGUGGAGGGGAACCAUUCCCCUCUACUCUCCUCCCCACUACUCUCCUCCCCUCUACUCCACUCUACUCUCAUCACUCUCUAAACUUCCAAACAGGCCAUAAAGGAAUGGCCAAUAUGCACAUAAUAUGCUAUUUCUUGAGGUGCCAGUAAAUUAAAGCAUCAAUCAUUGCAAGAAACAAAAAAGUCCAUCAACAUUUAGAAAAUACAAAUGACACAAACCUUUGAAAGUUUUCUAUAAAAUAUUUUAGAAUUGUUAUGAUAUAAUGUUUAUACAAUUAAAGUUUGAAGUUGGUUGAUUUCAACACUCAAUUAAAUUGUAUUAUGCUAUUGCUAGAAUUUCAUUGUAUUUAGAAUAUAGAUCCUUAAUAUUAGUUUUAAUUUUGAUCCCCGAUUACAACUAAUUGUGCUCUAAUGUGUUUCUUUAUUACAUUACAGGGAAAGUUUUUCUUAGGCAAUCUGACAACAUUCUUAAAUUUCUUGGAUCAAUGGUUUGCAUUUAGGCGAAACUCAAUGAUUUUUUUUAUCCUGUAUUUCUGUUUGUUGUUCUACAUUUUCCUUUGGUGUAGAAUUUUGUAAGACUAUUUACUACUGUAGUUUGAUGCAUUUCAUGGAUUAAUACUACAGGAUUUGAGUA